GGAAGGCUGGAAUGAUUCUGAAUUGAGCUGUGGUACAGAGCUGCUGAGCUGCUGGUCAGUCAGUUACAGUUGGAAUCAGUGGUGGCACAUCUGUAGAUGAACAUAAAUGAAAGUACAUAGAAAAGGUACUCUACAUCUUCACUAGGUUUUCUGUAGGUUUGGACCGCUUCAUUUGGAGACUGAGCCACAGAGCUGGGAAAUCAAUUUUGCUUCAGUAACUAAAUCUUUGGUUUAAGCUGUGGUAGCUUUUGGAGCAGAAUAUCAGUAUCUUUUAAGGAGAAGGCUGAUCAUACCAUUAAGGACAAUCAACUUGCCUGGAACACUCAUUGCUCUUGUUUAACUCAAUCACCACAGCAGUCCUUUAUUAUCUAAAAUAUUAUCCAAAUACAUAGCGAAGGUAUAAUUCACUUCUGGCAUACUGAUUGGGUUUACCUGAGUCAGAACAAUGUGAUUGAGGCUUACCCUGAGUUUGUCCUGACCUACCUAGAGGAACUAAAUGAAAGAGGAGGUGACCCAGACAGAAAACCGCAUUCACCAUGGGGCCUGAUCUGCAGCUCAUCAGGAGAUAGACAGCAGCUCAGCAGAAGAGAUUCUGCAAAAAAAUGUCAGCAACCCCAAUCAGAAACAACUUUCAGGACCUUUGGAUCCCAUUUAAUGCCUGCAGAUCCCCUAGGGGAGACUACACAGCUGACAGUGGCACUGGUGAGGAAACUAGAAGAGAAACAUCCUAAGGCCUCAGCUCAAAGUUGGGCAGAUUCGGUUAUUACAUUUCUGAAGACUUACCAGUGGGGGAAAAAUGACUGAAGAACACCCCAAGGAGAUGGAAAUGUUCUCCCACUUUCAUCAGUGACACAACUAUGAAUUGGUAAAAUUGUUUGUAAAGGCUAAUUGAAUGUUUGACCUUGAUUCUUUAUAGAAAUUUAUAAAUUAAGCAAUUUAUAAAUUCUAAGUGGACAAAAUAAAGGUGAAAGUCAUGAUCUACA
rnacentral:lncRNA from 1 species